UAUAGUGCUGAUAGAUUUAUAUGAUUACAAGUGCGUUAAAUUUUCGGAAUUAUAUUAUGGCAUAAUUAUCAUUGAUAUUUGUGUUUAUUAUAUGCAUUUGUAUGAUUACACAAUGCGAAAGAUUCACGAUACCUUCGGGACCCGUCUUGAAACACGGACCCACGAGUCUAACAUGAUGUGCAAGUUAUUGGGAUAUAAACCUAAUAGCAUAAUUAACUUGACUAUUAAUGGGAUUAGUUUUUUAACUAUUUAUAGUUAAUUAACGCACUCCCGGGGCGCUCUAUAUAUUUAUGUAUAAUAAUAUUUAUAUUAUUUAUGCCUCUAACUGGAACGUACCUUGAGCAUAUAUGCUGUGACCCGAAAGAUGGUGAACUAUACUUGAUCAGGUUGAAGUCAGGGGAAACCCUGAUGGAAGACCGAAACAGUUCUGACCUGCAAAUCGAUUGUCAGAAUUGAGUAUAGGGGCGAAAGACCAAUCGAACCAUCUAGGAGCUGGUUCCUUCCGAAGUUUCCCUCAGCGAUAGCUGGUGCAUUUAACUGUUGUAUAAAAUAAUCUUAUCUGGUAAAGCGAAUGAUUAGAGGCCUUAAGGUCCAAACGAUCUUAACCUAUUCUCAAACUUUAAAUGGGUAAGAACCUUAACUUUCUUGAUAUGAAGUUUAAGGUUAUGAUAUAAUGUGCCCAGUGGGCCACUUUUGGUAAGCAGAACUGGCGCUGUGGGAUGAACCAAACGUAAUGUUACUGUGCCCAAAUUAACAACUCAUACAGAAACCAUGAAAGGCGUUGGUUGCUUAAAACAGCAGGACGGUGAUCAUGGAAGUCGAAUUCCGUUAAGGAGUGUGUAACAACUCCCCUGCCGAAGCAACUAGCCCUUAAAAUGGAUGGCGCUUAAGUUGUAUACCUAUACAUUACCGCUAAAGUAGAUGGUUUAUAUUACUUGUAAUAUAAAUUUUGAAACUUUAGUGAGUAGGAAGGUACAAUGGUGUGCAUAGAAGUGUUUGGCGUAUAGCCCUGCAUGGAGACGCCUAUUGGUAACAAUCUUGGUGGGAAUAAGCCCAUAAAUCCAAUGGAGACCUUGGAGGAA
rnacentral:ncRNA from 1 species